ACCAAUCAUUGAUCUAUGGGCACAAUCGAUGGGUUGGGGCUGCUACUUUUGAAAAUUUUCAUUUUCCUGCUGAGCCAAUCGAUUUGUGUUUUGGAGCAAUCGAUUGGUCUACUGAGUUCAUUUUUUCAGUUUUUGCCUCAUGUCAAUCGAUUGGUCCUUCCAGUCAAUCGAUUGAUCUUGUUUAAUUUUUGAAAAAUCUGAAAUGGAUUCAUUCUUUC
rnacentral:lncRNA from 1 species